rnacentral:rRNA from 1 species
CCUACGGGAGGCAGCAGUAGGGAAUUUUCCACAAUGGGGGCAACCCUGAUGGAGCAACGCCGCGUGCAGGAUGAAGGCCUUCGGGUUGUAAACUGCUUUUAUCUGUGAAGAUUUUGACGGUAGCAGAUGAAUAAGGAUCGGCUAAUUCCGUGCCAGCAGCCGCGGUAAU